rnacentral:lncRNA from 1 species
CUGACUUAGGGUUGGGGGUUUAGUUGAUUUGAUUGAAUAAUUUAUAUGUUACCUCGAAAUCAACUCGUAGGAAUGGGGAAUUUGGUAUAUCAGUCAUGGGUGUUAGCUCUCUCUUCUGUUACUGCUUAGAAUUAGUAAUGAAACAUAUGAUUUUGCUUUUCUUCAAACCCUUCUUCUUGUAUUUUGAUGAAUUUUAGUGAAUUCAAUUGAUAUGACUUUGGA